CAGCACUUGACAUCAGUCCAGCAAGCUCCGUCCCAGCCUUGCGUCCACGGCUCGCUACGUGCCAUGUUAGUUUAGUGCUUGACGAAGUGCAGCACUGCAGCCAGAGCCACGCGUCUUUUGAGCCCAGGGGGUAAAGACACACUCUGAGUUGUAACCCAGUGGCACACCG